rnacentral:rRNA from 1 species
UACGGAAGGGGCAAGCGUUGUUCGGAAUCAUUGGGCGUAAAGGGCGCGUAGGUGGUUUUGUGUGUCUACCGUGAAAGCAUACAGCUCAACUGUAUUUUGUCGGUAGAAACUGCAGGACUUGAGGCUGGGAGGGGCAGGCGGAAUUCCGGGUGUAGCGGUGGAAUGCGUAGAGAUCCGGAGGAAGACCGGUGGCGAAGGCGGCCUGCUGGGCAGUUACUGACACUGAUGCGCGACAGCGUGGGGAGCAAACAGG